GAUGAACGCUGGCGGCGUGCUUAACACAUGCAAGUCGAACGUGAGAGGGUAGCAAUAUCCUUGAAAGUGGCGCACGGGUGAGUAAUACGUAGGUGACCUGCCCUGGAGUGGGGGAUAACAACUGGAAACGGUUGCUAAUACCGCAUAAUACCGGACACUAGGGAUAGUGACUGGUAAAAACUCUGGUGCUUCCGGAGGGGCCUGCGGCCGGUUAGCUAGUUGGCGGGGUAAGAGCCCACCAAGGCAUUGAUCGGUAGCUGGUCUGAGAGGACGAUCAGCCACACGGGAACUGAGACACGGUCCCGACUCCUACGGGAGGCAGCAGUGGGGAAUUUUCCGCAAUGGGCGAAAGCCUGACGGAGCAAGACCGCGUGGGGGAGGAAGGUUCUUGGAUUGUCAACCCCUUUUCUCAGGGAAGAAGAUCUGACGGUACCUGAGGAAUCAGCAUCGGCUAACUCCGUGCCAGCCGCCGCUGUAAAAC
rnacentral:rRNA from 1 species